rnacentral:rRNA from 1 species
UACAGAGGGGGCAAGCGUUGUUCGGAAUUACUUGGCGUAAAGGGCGCGUAGGCGGCCUGUUAAGUCGAACGUGAAAUCCCCGGGCUCAACCCGGGAACUGCGUCCGAUACUGGCAGGCUUGAAUCCGGGAGAGGGAUGCGGAAUUCCAGGUGUAGCGGUGAAAUGCGUAGAUAUCUGGAGGAACACCGGUGGCGAAGGCGGCAUCCUGGACCGGCAUUGACGCUGAGGCGCGAAAGCCAGGGGAGCAAACGGG